AUGGCGCCGUGCAGUUCGGAUGGGGUUCUCACCCCAUCCCACGCCGCCCACCGCAGGGGAGAAGGACGAGGAACUCCACCACCGGCCCCUCUGCGCCCCCAAGCAGUUUGCAGCGUGUGCGUGUGCAGGAUGGUAGGCACGUUGAUGCAGUCCAUCCCUCGAUCCGACCGCAGAUGUCGGCCCCUCUGCACCUUGGUGCCCGGCGCGGGCACCACCGCAGCCCCAUCCCUGUGCCACCUCCCUCAGCCCCGGAUCCACCAGCACAUCCCCCGCCCACGGCGCGCCGCGGUCAACAGCGUUUCUCCGAGCCUCUUUCUCUCACAGCCUCCUUAA
rnacentral:rRNA from 1 species